rnacentral:rRNA from 1 species
AACGAACGCUGGCGGCAUGCCUAACACAUGCAAGUCGAACGAGCCCUUCGGGUCUAGUGGCGCACGGGUGCGUAACGCGUGGGAACCUGCCCUUAGGUUCGGAAUAACUCCCCGAAAGGGGUGCUAAUACCGGAUAAUGUCUUCGGACCAAAGAUUUAUCGCCUUUGGAUGUGCCCGCGUUGGAUUAGCUAGUUGUUAGGGUAAAAGCAUACCACGGCGACGAUCCAUAGCUGGUCUGAGAGGAUGAUCAGCCACACUGGGACUGAGAAACGGCCCAGACUCCUACGGGAAGCAGCAGUGGGGAAUAUUGGAAAAUGGGCGAAAGCCUGAUCCAGCAAUGCCGCGUGAGUGAUGAAGGCCUUAGGGUUGUAAAGCGCUUGUACCCGGGAUGAUAAUGACAGUACCGGGAGAAUAAGCUCCGGCUAACUCCGUG